rnacentral:rRNA from 1 species
AUUGAACGCUGGCGGCAGGCCUAACACAUGCAAGUCGAGCGGCAGCGGGUCCUUCGGGAUGCCGGCGAGCGGCGGACGGGUGAGUAAUGCCUAGGAAUCUGCCUGGUAGUGGGGGAUAACGUUCGGAAACGGACGCUAAUACCGCAUACGUCCUACGGGAGAAAGUGGGGGAUCUUCGGACCUCACGCUAUCAGAUGAGCCUAGGUCGGAUUAGCUAGUUGGUGGGGUAAAGGCUCACCAAGGCGACGAUCCGUAACUGGUCUGAGAGGAUGAUCAGUCACACUGGAACUGAGACACGGUCCAGGCUCCUACGGGAGGCAGCAGUGGGGAAUAUUGGACAAUGGGCGAAAGCCUGAUCCAGCCAUGCCGCGUGUGUGAAGAAGGUCUUCGGAUUGUAAAGCACUUUAAGUUGGGAGGAAGGGCAGUAAGUUAAUACCUUGCUGUUUUGACGUUACCAACAGAAUAAGCACCGGCUAACUUCGUGCCAGCCGCCGCAGUAA